rnacentral:lncRNA from 1 species
GAUAUUUCAUUCCCCUUUCCUGUCAUCUCUUAUUCCUGUUCCUUUCAUCCAUACUAGAUAGCAACAAAAGGAAAAAAAUAGAAAGAUUAGCACAAAAUAAACCAUCUGUACCAUCGGCAACGAGUGAAGAUGCCGACGAUCUAAUCUGCAACAAGUGAAGACACCCACGAGCAUAUCUACAAACAUACUUUCAUUUUCACUGUUCUCCCUCUUGUUAUUUUUCAUCUUUAUUUUCUUUUCUUUUUUCCUUUUUCUUUUUGCUUUCGUUUGGGCUUGUUGGUGACAAUAAAUUUGUUGAUUUAGGUGUUAGGGUUUUGCUGCAAUUUGAGACCCUUUUAAAUUUCAUUUAUUUGAGUGGUUGAUUGUGCUUUAUUUCAUUUCUCUGCCUUGUUAAAAUUGUUGUUGUGUUCUGGAUUAUCUUAUUAUGGGUGAUGGUAGUGAUGAAAUUUUUUGGUGGGUGAUUUCUUUCCAUCUUCUGUUCUUUUAUUUUUUUCGAUUUGGGCUAUGGUGGUGUUGUGGUGAGUGGUGUUAACGGUGGUGGGUUGUGCUAAUGCCUUAGCGGUGGUGGCGAGUUGUGCUAACGCCUUGGUGGCGGGUGGAUCUCGUGGUGGUGGUGGUGGUGGUGGAUCUGGUGAUGGCGUGACCGUGCAUGGUGGUGGAUGGUGAUGAAUAUCUGAAUUAAUUAGAUCCAAAAAAAACUUAUUUCAC